rnacentral:rRNA from 1 species
CCGGUUGAUCCUGCCAGAGGUUACUGCUAUCGAGGUUCGACUAAGCCAUGCGAGUCGAAUGUAGCAAUACAUGGCGUACUGCUCAGUAACACGUGGACAACCUGCCCUUAGGUUGGGUAUAAACCCGGGAAACUGGGUAUAAUCCCCUAUAAGUCUCGGCUGCUGGAAUGCACCGAGAUUAAAAGCUCCGGCGCCUAAGGAUGGGUCUGCGGCCUAUCAGGUAGUAGUGGGUGUAGCGUACCUACUAGCCUACGACGGGUACGGGUUGUGAGAGCAAGAGCCCGGAGAUGGAUUCUGAGACACGAAUCCAGGCCCUACGGGGUGCAGCAGGCGCGAAAACUUUACAAUGCUGGCAACAGCGAUAAGGGGACCUCGAGUGCCAGGUUACAAAUCUGGCUGUCGAGAUGCCUAAAAAGCAUUUCAUAGCAAGGGCCGGGCAAGACCGGUGCCAGCCGCCGCGGUAACACCGGCGGCUCGAGUGGUAACCGUUAUUAUUGGGUCUAAAGGGUCUGUAGCCGGCCGGAUAAGUCUCUUGAGAAAUCUGGCAGCUUAACUGUCAGGCUUUCAGGAGAUACUGUCUGGCUCGAGGCCGGGAGAGGUGAGAGGUACUUCAGGGGUAGGGGUGAAAUCUUGUAAUCCUUGAAGGACCACCAGUGGCGAAGGCGUCUCACCAGAACGGACCUGACGGCAAGGGACGAAAGCUAGGGGCACGAACCGGAUUAGAUACCCGGGUAGUCCUAGCCGUAAACGAUACUCGCUAGGUGUCGGCCACGGUGCGACCGUUGUCGGUGCCGUAGGGAAGCCGUGAAGCGAGCCACCUGGGAAGUACGGCCGCAAGGCUGAAACUUAAAGGAAUUGGCGGGGGAGCACCACAACGGGUGGAGCUUGCGGUUUAAUUGGAGUCAACGCCGGG